ACUGGCUAGAUAUUCUUCAACUCAUUCCCACUGGUAAACUGUAAUCAAACUGAGGCAGUUAUCAUGGAAUUAUGAAUGGGGGAAGGAAGAGACAUUUUCAUAGAUUAUGUCACUAUAUAUAUGUUGUUGCUUCGUCUAUAUCUUCAGGUUAAAGGAGCUAAGUGCCAUCAUGAAGUUUUUAUUACUGUUGCUAUUUAUUGGAUGAGAUGAGCCAAAGAAUAUAGCUUAGGCUGUAUAUUGGCAAGAACUUUUAUCAGUUCCCCAUUUACAUGGGCAACAAAAGUGUGGAAGCUCAUUUUAGGUUGCUUGCAGCAAUAGUGUACAUUUAUCAAACUGGCCCAUAUUUUAUGCAGUUUGGAAUGGCAUAACUGUGAGUAGAAAGGCAAGCCUCCUCCAGGCUUGCAACAGCUCGGCUACAAUGGUCUGAGUUGGUUUCCCUUAUUUCUGUUUCUGGUGUGAGGCCUGGCUUCUGACAUUCUUGGGAAGGCAGGUACUUUUUCAAGUCAAGCUCAAUGAAAGAUAUCCCAUCACAAAGUUCAGAAGUAGCAGUAGCAAUACUAUCAUUGGAUAUUUAUUGACUACACAACAUAUGAGGAAAGGAGUACAGCAACCAAUCAAGGCCUGAACCUUUGUAAAGCUUUGACCUGUUCCAUUUCUGAUUUGGGCUUCUUCAUCUCUCC